UCUGCCAUCAUUCAGUUGGGCACUCUAGCGAGACUGCCGGUAAUAAACCGGAGGAAGGUGGGGAUGACGUCAAAUCAUCAUGCCCCUUAUGACCUGGGCUACACACGUGCUACAAUGGUUGGUACAACGAGUUGCGAGUCGGUGACGGCGAGCUAAUCUCUUAAAGCCAAUCUCAGUUCGGAUUGUAGGCUGCAACUCGCCUACAUGAAGUCGGAAUCGCUAGUAAUCGCGGAUCAGCACGCCGCGGUGAAUACGUUCCCGGGCCUU
rnacentral:rRNA from 1 species